rnacentral:lncRNA from 1 species
AGAUAGAGCAACGUUUUUACGAACUGAAACAGUGUAUCUUUGUGAAUUCAGUUAGUUCCCAGUAGCAGGCCCUUGUAAUAUGUGUACUUUAAAGAUUUAUCAAAAUUUGGUGAGCCGAAUCUGAGUAACAUGGUGAAUUCGGUUAGUUCCCAAUAGGCCGCAGUAGUAAUAAGUGGACUGUCGGGAUAUAGAAAAAUUUCACGAAUGGAAUCAAAAUUUCUAGGCGAAUUAAGUGAGUUCCCAAUGGGACAUGCUUGUAUUAGUGUGCUUUUAGAUAUAUAGCAACAUUUUAAGGGACGGAAUCUAAGUAUCAUGGUGAAUUCAGUAGGUUCCCAAUAGGAUUCGCAUGUAAUAAGCUUGUUAUUCAAGAUAGAGCAACGUUUUUACGAACUGAAACAGUGUAUCUUUGUGAAUUCAGUUAGUUCCAAGUAGCAGGCCCUUGUAAUAUGUGUACUUUUAAAGAUUUAUCAAAAUAUGGUGAGCCGAAUCUGAGUAUCAUGGUGAAUUCGGUUAGAUCCCAAUAGGCCGCAGUAGUAAUAAGUGGACUGUUCGGGAUAUAGAAAAAUUUUCACGAAUGGAAUCAAAAUUUCUAGGCGAAUAUAGUGAGUUCUCAAUGGGACAUGCUUGUAUGAGUGUGCUUUUCAAUAUAGAGCAACAUUUUAAGGAACGG